AAAAUGAUGAAACUCGUACCUAUAGGCAGAUCUGCCACAGUGUUCAGUUUGACCUGCGGGACCUUUUCGAUCGGAACCUGCUGCGCUGCUGGAAGGGCAAUCACUGGAACUGCUGGAGCUACGACAGAGUAGCUACGGUGCGAUCUGUGCUGAAGGUGGCCCAGUCGGUCUGACCAGGUCGGAGAAGGGUUAACAGCUCGAGUUCCGUCUCUGAAAGAGUAACCUCUUUGUUCUUAGCUGCAAAACCAUA
rnacentral:sRNA from 1 species